rnacentral:rRNA from 1 species
AAGACCUUGCGCUUUGGGAGCGGCCGAUGUCUGAUUAGCUAGUUGGUGGGGUAAAGGCCUACCAAGGCGACGAUCAGUAGUUGGUCUGAGAGGACGACCAGCCACACUGGGACUGAGACACGGCCCAGACUCCUACGGGGGGCAGCAGUGGGGAAUUUUGGACAAUGGGCGCAAGCCUGAUCCAGCAAUGCCGCGUGAGUGAAGAAGGCCUUCGGGUUGUAAAGCUCUUUCAGUCGAGAAGAAAAAGCUGCAGUGAAUAACUGUAGUUCAUGACGGUAUCGACAGAAGAAGCACCGGCUAACUACGUGCCAGCAGCCGCGGUAAUACGUAGGGUGCGAGCGUUAAUCGGAAUUACUGGGCGUAAAGGGUGCGCAGGCGGCUUUGUAAGUCAGAUGUGAAAUCCCCGGGCUUAACCUGGGAAUU